rfam:Bacillus hemicellulosilyticus JCM 9152 DNA, contig:contig_9.
GCGAGCCGUAUACAUUGAAAGGUGUACGUACGGUUCUGAGGGAGAUUAAAUGAAACCUGUGUUGCUUAUUUCACAAGGCGCAUAUAAUCGACCCUAC